rnacentral:rRNA from 1 species
CCUACGGGAGGCAGCAGUGGGGGAUAUUGCACAAUGGGGGAAACCCUGAUGCAGCGACGCCGCGUGUGGGAAGACGGUCCUCUGGAUUGUAAACCACUGUCCCCAGGGACGAAGAUGACGGUACCUGGGGCGGAAGCUCCGGCUAACUACGUGCCAGCAGCCGCGGUAAUACGUAGGGAGCGAGCGUUGUCCGGAAUUACUGGGUGUAAAGGGAGCGUAGACGGGACUGCAAGUUGGGUGUCAAAUCUACCGGCUCAACCGGUAGCCGCACUCAAAACUGCAGUUCUUGAGUGAAGUAGAGGCAGGCGGAAUUCCUAGUGUAGCGGUGAAAUGCGUAGAUAUUAGGAGGAACACCAGUGGCGAAGGCGGCCUGCUGGGCUUUUACUGACGCUGAGGCUCGAAAGUGUGGGGAGCAAACAGGAUUAGAUACCCUUGUAGUC